AUUGAACGCUGGCGGAAUGCUUUACACAUGCAAGUCGAACGGCAGCACGGACUUCGGUCUGGUGGCGAGUGGCGAACGGGAGAGUAAUACAUCGGAACGUGCCCAGUCGUGGGGGAUAACGUCGCGAAAGCUACGCUUAUACCGCAUACGAUCUAAGGAUGAAAGCGGGGGAUCGCAAGACCUCGCGCGAUUGGAGCGGCCGAUGGCAGAUUAGGUAGUUGGGAGGGUAAAGGCAUACCAAGCCGACGAUCUGUAGAUGGUCUGAGAGGAUGAUCAGCCACACUGGGACUGAGACACGGCCCAGACUCCUACGGGAGGCAGCAGUGGGGAAUUUUGGACAAUGGGCGCAAGCCUGAUCCAGCCAUUCCGCGUGCAGGAUGAAGGCCUUCGGGUUGUAAACUGCUUUUGUACAGAACGAAAAGGCUUUGGUUAAUACCCGGGGAUCAUGACGGUACUGUAAGAAUAAGCACCGGCUAACUACGUGCCAGCCGCCGCAGUAA
rnacentral:rRNA from 1 species